AGUGAACGCUGGCGGUAGGCCUAACACAUGCAAGUCGAACGGCAGCACAGUAAGAGCUUGCUCUUACGGGUGGCGAGUGGCGGACGGGUGAGGAAUACAUCGGAAUCUACUUUUUCGUGGGGGAUAACGUAGGGAAACUUACGCUAAUACCGCAUACGACCUACGGGUGAAAGCAGGGGAUCUUCGGACCUUGCGCGAUUGAAUGAGCCGGUGUCGGAUUAGCUAGUUGGCGGGGUAAAGGCCCACCAAGGCGACGAUCCGUAGCUGGCCUGAGAGGAUGAGCAGCCACACUGCGACUGGGAGGCGGCCAAGAGGAGGGAGGGAGGCAGGAGUGGGGAAGUUUCCGCAACGGGCGACAGGGUGAGGGAGCAAUGCCGCGUGGAUGUAGAAGGUCUUUGGGUGGAAAAAAACGUUUCUCGGAGAAGCCCCCAUGACGGUAUCUGAGGAAAAAGCAACGGCUAACUCUGUG
rnacentral:rRNA from 1 species